rnacentral:rRNA from 1 species
GAGUUUGAUCCUGGCUCAGAACGAACGCUGGCGGCGCGCCUAACACAUGCAAGUCGAACGAGAAGCCGUAGCAAUACGGUUGUAAAGUGGCAAACGGGUGAGCAAUACAUGGGUAACCUACCCUCAGGUGGGGAAUAACUUCCCGAAAGGGAUGCUAAUGCCGACGAUACCCACCGGCCUCAUAAGAGGCUGUUGGAAAGCCGAACCGAGGGUUCGGCGCCUAAGGAUGGGCUCAUGUCCUAUCAGCUUGUUGGCGGGGUAAUGGCCCACCAAGGCUGCGACGGGUAGCUGGUCUGAGAGGACGACCAGCCACACUGGCACUGCGACACGGGCCAGACUCCUACGGGAGGCAGCAGUGAGGAAUCUUGCGCAAUGGGCGAAAGCCUGACGCAGCGACGCCGCGUGGGGGAUGAAGGCCUUCGGGUUGUAAACCCCUUUCAGGAGGGAAGAUGGGACGGGCAACCGUUCGGACGGUACCUCCAGAAGCAGCCACGGCUAACUCUGUGCCAGCAGCCGCGGUAAGACAGAGGUGGCAAGCGUUGUUCGGAUUUACUGGGCGUAAAGGGUGCGUAGGUGGUUAGGUAAGACCUGCGGGAAAGACCUGGGCUUAACCCAGGAAGGUCGCAGGUGACUGCCUAGCUAGAGGGCGGGAGAGGAGAGCGGAAUUCCCGGUGUAGCGGUGAAAUGCGUAGAGAUCGGGAGGAAGGCCGGUGGCGAAGGCGGCUCUCUGGAACGUUCCUGACACUGAGGCACGAAAGCGUGGGGAGCAAACAGGAUUAGAUACCCUGGUAGUCCACGCCCUAAACGAUGGGUACCAAGUGUCGGCGGGUUACCGCCGGUGCCGCACCUAACGGAGUAAGUACCCCGCCUGGGGAGUACGGCCGCAAGGUUGAAACU